UACAGAGGGUGCGAGCGUUGUUCGGAAUUACUGGGCGUAAAGCGUAUGCAGGCGGACUUUUAAGUCGGGGGUGAAAUCCCGAGGCUCAACCUCGGAACUGCCUUCGAUACUGGAAGUCUUGAGUCCGGGAGAGGUGAGUGGAACUCCGAGUGUAGAGGUGAAAUUCGUAGAUAUUCGGAAGAACACCAGUGGCGAAGGCGGCUCACUGGCCCGGUACUGACGCUGAGAUACGAAAGCGUGGGGAGCAAACAGG
rnacentral:rRNA from 1 species